rnacentral:tRNA from 1 species
GGCCUGAUGGUCUAGUAGUAUGAUUCGCCCUUCGGGUUUUCGAGGCCCCUUGGAUUCUCAAGUGAUUGGGCGAGGUCCCGGGUUCAAUUCCCGGUCAGGCCC